AUUCCGGUGGCCUAGUGGUUAGAGCGUCCGCCUCGGAUGCGAGAGUCGUUGGUUGGAGCCCCGGUCGAGACA